rnacentral:rRNA from 1 species
GACGAACGCUGGCGGCGUGCUUAACACAUGCAAGUCGAACGAAAAGAGGGAAAGAGCUUGCUCUUUCCGGAAUUGAGUGGCAAACGGGUGAGUAACACGUAAACAACCUGCCUUCAGGAUGGGGACAACAGACGGAAACGACUGCUAAUACCGAAUAAGUUCCAAGAGCCGCAUGGCCCAUGGAAGAAACGCUGGCCUCUACCUGUAAGCUAUCGCCUGAAGAGGGGUUUGCGUCGGAUUAGCCGGUUGGCGGGGUAACGGCCCACCAAGGCGACGAUCAGUAGCCGGUCUGAGAGGAUGAACGGCCACACUGGAACUGAGACACGGGCCAGACUCCUACGGGAGGCAGCAGUGGGGAAUCUUCCGCAAUGGGCGAAAGCCUGACGGAGCAACGCCGCGUGAGUGAUGACGGCCUUCGGGUUGUAAAACUCUGUGAUCCGGGACGAAAAGGCAGAGUGCGAAGAACAAACUGCAUUGACGGUACCGGAAAAGCAAGCCACGGCUAACUACGUG